AUUGAACGCUGGCGGCAGGCCUAACACAUGCAAGUCGAGCGGAGCGGAGGACGGGGGAGUAAUGCCUAGAAAUCUGACUGGUAGUGGGGGAUAACGUCCGGAAACGGGCGGUAAUACAGCAUACUAUCAGAUGAGGCUAGGUCGGAUUAGCUAGUGCGUGGGGUAAAGGCCGACCAAGGCGACGAUCCGUAACUGGUCUGAGAGGAUGAUCAGGCACACUGGAACUGAGACACGGUCCAGACUCCUACGGGAGGCAGCAGUGGGGAAUAUUGGACAAUGGGCGAAAGCCUGAUCCAGCCAUGCCGCGUGUGUGAAGAAGGUCUUCGGAUUGUAAAGCACUUUAAGUUGGGAGGCGUUACCAACAGAAUAAGCACCGGCUAACUUCGUGCCAGCAGCCGCGGUAAUUC
rnacentral:rRNA from 1 species